rnacentral:rRNA from 1 species
UAGUAACUGCGAGUGAAGCGGGAAGAGCUCAAAUUUUGAAUCUGGCGGUCUUCGGCCGUCCGAGUUGUAAUCUAGAGAAGCGUYUUCCGCGCUGGCCCGUGUACAAGUCUCCUGGAAAGGAGCAUCAUAGAGGGUGAGAAUCCCGUCUUUGACACGGACUACCAGUGCUAUGUGAUGCGCUCUCGACGAGUCGAGUUGUUUGGGAAUGCAGCUCAAAACGGGUGGUAAAUUCCAUCUAAAGCUAAAUACAGGCGAGAGACCGAUAGCGAACAAGUACCGUGAGGGAAAGAUGAAAAGAACUUUGGAAAGAGAGUUAAACCGUACGUGAAAUUGCUGAAAGGGAAACGCUUGAUGUCAGUCGCGUCGGCCGGGGAUCAACCUUGCUUCUCGCUGGGUGUAUUUCCUGGUCGACGGGUCAGCAUCAGUUUCGGUCGCCGUACAAGG